CAGCCCCAGAAUGUCAGAGCAGGGCUGUAUGUUUCUCAAGUUCGAUUGAAAUAACCAUUCUGAGUAAGAAAGAAAACAAAGGUACGGAUGAUUAACAUUUGUUUCAAACUUUUGGGCUCUUAAGGGGUUUUGGGAAAGUUUUGUGUUAUAGUUUGGUUAAACUGAAUUCAAAUAUGUUAGUAUUGUAUUUAAGAACAUAUAUAAGAAGAGAGAUGGGGUAAGAGUAAACAUAAAUAGACCCACCCCCCCCAAAAAAAAAAAUGGUGACAUAAAUGAUGAAUUCUUCGGGAGCUGAUGAAAGUAACUGAAACCUUGUGUUGAGAUUAGGGUCAAGGAGGGUGGGAAUUAGAUUAAUUCUCACUGGUGUCCAGAUUUAGCCUUUCACAAAGCACCAAGUGUAUUAACGUCUUUGCUCCUCUGGUUAGGGUGUGUUCCUCAUAAUCUUGUUCAGGACGUCACUUUGAAAUGCAUCUGUUGGUUGUGUGGACACUGUUCACCUGGUGUGUCAGUUGUAGUUUCGAUACUCUUAAAGCUCAUUAAGACCUCCAGUUCAGCCACAGCAACACCAGAUCCGAGCCAUAUCUGUGACCCACACCAUAGCUCAUGGCAAUGCCAGAUCCUUAACCCACUGAGCAAGGCCAGGGGUCGAACCUGCAACCUCAUGGUUACUAGUCAGAUCCGUUAACCACUGAGCCACAACAGGAACUCCAGUGAGGAACUGAUUUUAAUACCUACUAAGUCACUCAACCAAGUGAAAAUAGCUUCCUACAUCUGUAGACAUCACUCUGCCAAAGAUGAUUCAAGAUGCUAAAUGUAAGCACUGUUUGUGAAAAAAACCAUGUAUUAGUGCAUGAAAAUUACGUAAAACUAUGUAUUUUUGACUUUGCAUUUGAAGUAUUAUAUGUCUCCUUAUAACUUUAGAAAUAAGACCACUUAUUUACAAAUGCCAUAAAAUGCCUUAGGGAUCAACGUAAAAUGGUAAGAUCUUUUAUUUUUAUGUGAAAACCCACGUUUUAAGUAUUUUUAAAAUCUGCUAAAUUAGAUUUCUCUCUGAGGCAGGUUGUAAUAUUUGUAUGUAAAUGGUCUUGGAUCUAACAUUAUGGAUAUGAAAGAUCCACAACACUCAAGGUCAUCUUCAUAGAUCACCUGGUCUAAUCCCCUUUCUCUCAUUGUCCCUGAAGAGGCCAAAACAGUGGCCUUGGUCCUGUGGAUUUCUAGCUCUACCUGGAAUAUAACAGAUGCUGAAGGUGUGUUGAUGAAAUAGCUGAAACCCUUUUCCUACAUUCAGUGAUUUAUUAAGUUAACCAUUAAAAAUCUGUUUAAUGUCCAUUUAAAUCCAGAUAAAUGCCCAUUUAAAUCCAUAUAAAGCCUUAUAUCUGGGAUAUAAGGGCAAAAGAGAUAUGAUUAUGAUUCUUAUCCUCAAGGGCUUUACGGUCUAUUAUAAGAAGAGGACAAAUAAGCAAAGAAGGGCAAUGCAUCUUCCCAGUAUUAUGAUCUAUGUUAAAACAAGGUGCAUGUGGGGCACAAAGAAAGCUUGACCAGUUCUCCUUGAAGCAGGGAUAGAAGUUUACUUAAAGGGCUGUGUUUUAAGCCUUUUUAGGAAGAUGAAACAUUAUAAUUUUUUUAAAAAAGCAGUCUUGAUUUUUUUUUUAUAAAGUAGAACCCCCCCCCCAAAUUUCCCUAUAUCUAUUCCAGCUUCUCUGAUCUUCCCAUUAGGAAAUUCUUUAUAUCUUACUCAAAUUCCUCAGGAUGCAUUUUUUAACUUGAAGUUCCUUAAUUUCUCCAGGGAGGAUAGAAAAUAACCAAUUGGUAUCCCUUAUUUAGCAAUCUGAAUUUUUGGCAGUCUGUAUUGCUGGAUCCACACCAAAAAGAUUAAAUAUAACUGGAAUAAACAUAAAGUCCUAUAUUUAAAUUGAGAAUGUUAUCAUACAUUUAAAAGAUAAGAGAGGGAGGUCUUACAUGAAAUAAAUAAAUAAAUAAAUAAAUAAAUUAAAUAAAUAAAUAAAUAAAUAAAUAAAUAAAAGAACUCUGAGGGUUUUAUUUGGCUGCAAAUUUAAAUAUAAGUCUAUUGCAGGAUGUAGCUGCUAGAAACCUGUCUUGCUCACAGUUGGCAUUAAUGGACACAGUCUUCAUAUCACAGACUUAUGCCCACUGUGCUGGGCCCUAGGCAGAAAAUACUUGAAAAAUAAUCAGUUUGGUUCUGUGUGUCACAUUGAAGACUAUGGAAAGCCUGAAGCUUCUCCUGAAGAAAACCAUCAUGUAUGCACCUCUAGACUAGCCCUUUCCUGCAUCUUGACCUUCGGUUCCAACCAUAUCCUGAGCAGCUCUCUCACCUGGUUUAUAACAGUUCUCAAUUGUUGACUCACUUCUUCCAUCCAUAUUAAGUUCUCUAAAAUUGAAUCAGCCUUCCUUGCCUUUGACAAGCUUCCAUUCCCAGCACCUCUGCUCUGCAUCCAGAUGGAAGACUUGGGUGUUUUGUUUUGUUUUUAACCUCUCCCCUUUGCCUCCACUUUUCUGACCCUUGGUACUAGAGACAUGACUUAUGUGCUUCCUUGCCUUUCCUAUAGCUAUAAUCAGCUAAUCAUUCUUUCGUCUCUUGUAUUCAGUUCACAGUUAAGGUGAAAAAAAUAUGGUUACACUACUUUACAUACUAGAACAAGGACUUCUAAACUUUCUUCUUGGGAAGGGUUUUGUUUUGUCUUGUUUUGUUUACCAUUUUAAAGUGAAGGCAGGAGUUCUCAUUGUGGUUCAGUGGGUUAAGAACCUAACUGGUAUCCAUGAGGAUGCAGGUUCUUUCCCUGACCUCACUCAGUGGGUUAGUGGGAUCCAGUAUUGCCACAAGCUGUGGUAUAGGUCACAGAUGUAGGUCAGAUCCCACAUUGCUGUGGCUGUGGUGUAGGCCGGCAGCUGCAUCUCUGAUUCAACCCCUAGCCCGGGAACUUCCAUAUGCCACAGGUAUGGCCCU
rnacentral:lncRNA from 1 species